GGAUUAGAUACCCUGGUAGUCCAUGCCGUAAACGAUGAGAACUAGGUGUUGGGUUUAAACUCAGUACCGCAGCUAACGCAAUAAGUUCUCCGCCUGGGGAGUACGGCCGCAAGGUUAAAACUCAAAGGAAUUGACGGGGGCCCGCACAAGCGGUGGAGCAUGCGGUUUAAUUCGAUGCAACGCGAAAAACCUUACCUACUCUUGACAUCCUUGGAAACUUUUAGAGAUAAGAGUGUGCCUUCGGGAACCAAGUGACAGGUGCUGCAUGGCUGUCGUCAGCUCGUGCCG
rnacentral:rRNA from 1 species